rnacentral:rRNA from 1 species
GGGCUUCACACGUCAUACAAUGGUCGGAACAGAGGGUCGCCAACCCGCGAGGGGGAGCCAAUCCCAGAAAACCGAUCGUAGUCCGGAUUGCACUCUGCAACUCGAGUGCAUGAAGCUGGAAUCGCUAGUAAUCGCGGAUCAGCAUGCCGCGGUGAAUACG